rnacentral:lncRNA from 1 species
AUGUCAAAUCAGGGAGUCCGACAGUAAAUCAGGAGGUAUUUGACUCCGGACUCCCGUUAAUUUCGCACCCUGUACUGUGUUUGUCGUCUCUCCCUUCCACCAUCUCUCUCUUUUCCUCUCACUUUCAUUCUCACUUCGUUCCCUUUCUCCUUGCCCACUUAUUGCCGUCCUAGCUUAAUGUUAUCAGAUUAUCGUGCCUUUUUAUUCGGACAUACAGUGUAUAUCUGAACUAUAGAUUGUAUUCUAUUUAACUACCUGUCCAUUAAUGCAUUAUUGACACUGGUAGCUAUGUUAUAGUGCGUGAUCCACGCAAUUACUCAAAGUUAUUGCACUUUUGAGGAUGCAUUUUAGGCUUUUAGGAUUUUCUUUCUGCAAUCUGCAGGAAUUUGACUGAUUUUCAUAAGAAAAAUAAAAACGACAGUAAUUAUGCCUAAUUAGCUCAAAUAGGUUAAUUAGUGCAGAAAAAUGGUAAGGGUAGCAGCUAUGGUAAGGGAAAAGGUAUUUUAGUUUUUCAGUGUUGCCGUGAAUGGUACGAAUCGGUAUUGUCCAAAUAUAAGUGAUUGCUUUCAUCUAUCAUUUUACUAUUCUGUGUGCCUACCUGAUUGUCAAAGCACACGCUCUCAUGCUUGCACGGUUGGUUGGCCUGAAAUUCAAGCUGUCGAUGAAAGAUUGAGCAGUUUUCAUUGUCAACCGGGUACGUGUAACACGGUAGUUUGUAGAGGCGAAUCUUGUUAUUCCUGACCAGUUUUUGUAGCAGUAAUCACGCAGUAUGAUGUGCCACUAUAGGAACGCUCAAUGUGUGACGAGAUAGGCUCACACCGUCCACGUCGAUCGGAGGCGGAAGAAGUGAUAUGUUUUGUCGUCAUAAUUAUUACUAUGCAUUAUAUUAUUCUCGCAAUGGCUAUUAUCACUGUAAGUACGAGUUAGUAUGUGCUAUGAAUGAAAUAGGUUAAUAUCUUGGAAUCGGGUACAGCGUACAAGGGUCGUACCAGAGGGGCGGUGGGGGCUACAGCUCUCUCCCAGUCAAGGAACCUUAACUAGUGUUGAAAAAAUCAGUAACUAACUUGGUGGAUUAACACCCACAAAAAAUGCAUUCGUUCUUCAUAAACACCCUUUUAUCUUAGUGAAAAUAAUCAGCAAGAAAAAGGGCCGAUUUAUCUGUAGAUGGAAUAUGUUGCUAUAUGUAUCAAUAUUUAUUGUUAUGGCAAUUUUUUCUUGCUAACAACGCCAAAGAUACGAUUUUAAACCUUCAAAUUUGGGAAGAACAAUUUUGAUUACUCUAGUUCUAGUCUUUGGCCACCUACUCACAUUGUGAAUUUAUCCUCUUCACUGGCCUCUUCAUCAGGGACCUUGGUCUGCGUGUUUGGCAAUCUCUGGUGCCACCCCUGACAGCAUAAUUGGUGACUACUCCAGAAGUGGGAGAGCUGUGAUUGUUAACGAGUGUUCUAUAAGGGUCGCUAUCAGUUGAGUGCUCCGUGAGAGUGUGCUGUGAGUUAGUGACUGCUCCGUGAGAAGUGUGCUGUGAGUUAGUGACUGCUCCGUGAGAGGGACGCUGUGAGUUAGUGACUGCUCCGUGAGAGUGUGCUGUGAGUUAGUGACUGCUCCGUGAGAGGGACGCUGUGAGUUAGUGACUGCUCCGUGAGAGUGUGCUGUGAGUUAGUGACUGCUCCGUGAGAGGGACGCUGUGAGUUAGUGACUGCUCCGUGAGAGUGUGCUGUGAGUUAGUGACUGCUCCGUGAGAGGGACGCUGUGAGUUAGUGACUGCUCCGUGAGAGUGUGCUGUGAGUUAGUGACUGCUCCGUGAGAGGGACGCUGUGAGUUAGUGACUGCUCCGUGAGAGUGUGCUGUGAGUUAGUGACUGCUCCGUGAGCGAGCGCUGUGAGUUAGUGACUGCUCCGUGAGAGGGCGCUGUGAGUUAGUGACUGCUCCGUGAGAGGGCGCUGUGAGUUAGUGACUGCUCCGUGAGAGGGCGCUGUGAGUUAGUGACUGCUCCGUGAGAGUGUGCUGUGAGUUAGUGACUGCUCCGUGAGAGGGCGCUGUGAGUUAGUGACUGCUCGGUGAGAGUGUGCUCAGCCGAGUUCAGCCAAUUUCAUUUCGAUCCUCGCGUAUCCUCGCGUAACAGGGCUACAGAAAGAAGUGCAUGACCUUUUAGUUUCCCCAUACAGCACCGCGCACCUAUCUUUCCGUUGUUAUAUUUUUAGUGAUCGAGCGAACGUGCACGCACGUAAAUGUGCACGUGCACGUGCGUGUGUAUAACUAUAAGUACGCAUGCGUUCAGGAAGGGUGCGCAGCUACAUAACUGUUUACUAUGUAGGGCUUUGCUUUCCAAUCGUCUUAAGAAGCUACAGUCACGUGACGAGCGCUAUUUAUUAUGUUCCUGCCUGAUUUCGGCAGUUUUUGACGUUUUGCAUAACAAUCCACAGUCGUUCUUAAUGGAGGGGAUUCCUCCAUUAUUACAGGAGGACACCGUGUUAUUAUGUGCAAAAGUGCACGCUACAAAAAUAUCGGUAACACGUUGUACCCGUCUAUAGUAAAUUUCUAGUUAAACGGUGGGCAGUUGGCUAUGGUAACGUGUGACAUUUUGACAUUGACUGCGAAACAGUAGCGUUGACACUUGUGUUUGAUUGAACCUCAGUUGACUGGCGUCCAGAACCUAUGUAUACUUCAGUGUGUAUAGGGUUCAUGCUAUGAUGUGUGCGAACAAAACAACAGUUGACUCUCGCGUGCAUUACCCUUUGCAACCAGGAACACAUCCGAAAUAAAAUGAUUACACGUCUUGAACGCCUCCACAUAUCCUGCUGUUUCUAAUCGUGGGUAUAUUCAUGAAGGAGCUACGUCUCGUAAACGCCACCAUGGUGCAUACGCAGAUUUUUAAAUCGUGACUGAUUGCGUGCCCAAUUCUAGUUCCGUAUUGUCAACCCUGUCAGCAUUGUUUCCUGGACUUGUACGUACUCGCAAAUGCUAUGCUUUGUGGCAACGUGGUAUGCGGACGAUAUUAAUAUAUUCCCGUGUUGUGAGUUUGGUGUGUGUUUUUGGUUGAGAAAAGGGAACACGCGUGAGAAGAUGCUGUUGGCUCUAACCGUGCUGGUCGUAUUGUUGGUACGUCGCCUAGGUUACCUGACGCCUGAUAACUAAACAUCCGUGCUGACAUAGGUGUUAAGAGUGUAGGUGUUAGCUACGCAGUGGCUAGCUGCUAUGUGUGCAUGUACUGCGUAGCUAACCGUAUAUGUUGGCUACGCCAUGUUUGGCUAUCGUGCGUAAACUCCAGCCCAGCGACGCGUAGCUGUAUAUAUGAGUACAGGCGACCAGUGGGUCAACGAUUCCUGACGUAGUUAUCUAUACUGCUGGAUAGAAUAUGGAUUCGUACGACCAGAAGUAAAUAGGAAAACAUUUUAUUCACGUCUGGUACGACGUUGUUUGCAGUUCUCUCCGAUUCUUCGCGCGUUCUUUGAAUAUGAAUCAAUGUAUGUAUCGAUUUUCGACACAGCAUAUUUUAGGUAAUCGCGACUAUUUUUUGAGGUAUACAAAGUAGAUGAUUGGGUCGUGUGUUGUGAAAGUAUAUUGUUACCACAUCCAUUUGUUACCGUUUGUUACUAAUAUCGCGCUAUCACUUGAAUUGGUCAGGUAACGCUUUCGGGAUAAUAAAAAAUUGUUUAUAUUCACAUA